CCGCCUCCUCUACCGCCGGCCCCCAAAGCCCUUUUGUUUCCAAGAUGGCCUCCGAGCUCUGUUUUAAUACGCACGGAACAAAGCCUAUUGAACACCCUUAAGCUUAGCGGAAAGCGAGAAUUGUAGGGAAACUAAGGCACCAGGAGGUCGAGUAGUUGCCGGAAGCAUCGCAGCUAGUAAAUGAGGGAAACGGAGUCCAGCCCAGGCAGUCUAAGGAGAGCCUGCGCCAGGCUGCCGCUGUGCCACAUACUGCCUCCGAAAACACAGCAGGGAGUCCAUGAUGUCUUCUAAUUGCAGCACUUUUGGGGGGACGAGCGUGACAGCUGUAAAUGGAUGAGAUGUUCCAGGGAACUGAUCAAGACCAGCUCCUGGGGGCUGUCUUCAUGAGAAGAGCCAGGGGAGAGCAGGAAGGCAACCAAGAAGGUGAUUGAGAAGAAAUGGUAAAGCAGUCAGAAGAAAGCAAAGAGUGUGCAAAGUCAGAAAGGGCCAGGCCCCAAGAGUUAUAGGAGGUGAGUGGUCAGUGUGAGGUGCAGGAGAAAGGCCGAGAAACGUUUGAGACUGUGGGUCAUAGUUUUAUGGAAGGGGUUUCCUGGUGGCAUGGCUUCCCGAGGACUGUAUUGGUCUGUGUGACGUGAACAUGCCCUUGAUCCUACAACCUUUUUGUUUGUUUGUGCCUUCGGCUAAGGGAGAAGAGAUUGGCUUAUUGUGCACAUGUAACAUUCAGCCACAACUGAGAACAGAGCUAACCCAGGAUGUCACAGGUCCAAGGCAAAGGACCAAAGAGGACUGUUUAGUAUUUUGAAAGAAAUUCAAGACUUUUUAAUGUUUACGAAGUCAGGCUGGUGUGGUAGCCAGCCUUCAAGAUGGCCCCAGUGAUACUCCCCCAGUCUGGUAUUCCUGCUCUCCUCUGGUCUCCCUCAUACAGAACAUGGCUGAUCUGUGUAAUCAGGAUGUGUGGCAUCUGAGGCUAGAUCAUAACAGACAUUACAAGUGCUGCCUUCUACCUCUGCUCUCUCUUGAAUGACUCACUCUGAGGGAAGCUAGCUACCCUAUUGUGAAGACACUCAGAUAGCCCUAUGUGAGAUCCAUCUGGCAAGGAACUGAGGCCUCCUGCAAACAGCUUUGUGAGUGAACCAUCUUGGAAGAGGAUCCACCAGCCCCAGUCAAGCCUUCAGCUGACAUCGUGACUACAACCUCAUGGGAGACCUGGAGACAGAAUCACAAAGCUAGCCUGCUCUGAUUACUGACCUACAGAAACCAUGUGAGAUAAUACAUGUACAUUUUUGUUUCAGCCACAAAGUUUUGUGGUGAUUUUUUAACAUACUAUAGAUAACAGUGGGGUUUCUAUCUUUUGUAAUAGAAAAACU